AGAGUUUGAUCCUGGCUCAGGAUGAACGCUAGCUACAGGCUUAACACAUGCAAGUCGAGGGGCAUCAGGAAGAAAGCUUGCUUUCUUUGCUGGCGACCGGCGCACGGGUGAGUAACACGUAUCCAACCUGCCCUUUACUCGGGGAUAGCCUUUCGAAAGAAAGAUUAAUACCCGAUGGCAUAAUGAUUCCGCAUGGUUUCAUUAUUAAAGGAUUCCGGUAAAGGAUGGGGAUGCGUUCCAUUAGGUUGUUGGUGAGGUAACGGCUCACCAAGCCUUCGAUGGAUAGGGGUUCUGAGAGGAAGGUCCCCCACAUUGGAACUGAGACACGGUCCAAACUCCUACGGGAGGCAGCAGUGAGGAAUAUUGGUCAAUGGGCGCUAGCCUGAACCAGCCAAGUAGCGUGAAGGAUGAAGGCUCUAUGGGUCGUAAACUUCUUUUAUAUAAGAAUAAAGUGCAGUAUGUAUACUGUUUUGUAUGUAUUAUAUGAAUAAGGAUCGGCUAACUCCGUGCCAGCAGCCGCGGUAAUACGGAGGAUCCGAGCGUUAUCCGGAUUUAUUGGGUUUAAAGGGAGCGUAGGUGGACUGGUAAGUCAGUUGUGAAAGUUUGCGGCUCAACCGUAAAAUUGCAGUUGAUACUGUCAGUCUUGAGUACAGUAGAGGUGGGCGGAAUUCGUGGUGUAGCGGUGAAAUGCUUAGAUAUCACGAAGAACUCCGAUUGCGAAGGCAGCUCACUGGACUGCAACUGACACUGAUGCUCGAAAGUGUGGGUAUCAAACAGGAUUAGAUACCCUGGUAGUCCACACAGUAAACGAUGAAUACUCGCUGUUUGCGAUAUACAGUAAGCGGCCAAGCGAAAGCAUUAAGUAUUCCACCUGGGGAGUACGCCGGCAACGGUGAAACUCAAAGGAAUUGACGGGGGCCCGCACAAGCGGAGGAACAUGUGGUUUAAUUCGAUGAUACGCGAGGAACCUUACCCGGGCUUAAAUUGCAGUGGAAUGAUGUGGAAACAUGUCAGUGAGCAAUCACCGCUGUGAAGGUGCUGCAUGGUUGUCGUCAGCUCGUGCCGUGAGGUGUCGGCUUAAGUGCCAUAACGAGCGCAACCCUUAUCUUCAGUUACUAACAGGUCAUGCUGAGGACUCUGGAGAGACUGCCGUCGUAAGAUGUGAGGAAGGUGGGGAUGACGUCAAAUCAGCACGGCCCUUACGUCCGGGGCUACACACGUGUUACAAUGGGGGGUACAGAAGGCAGCUAGCGGGUGACCGUAUGCUAAUCCCAAAAGCCUCUCUCAGUUCGGAUCGAAGUCUGCAACCCGACUUCGUGAAGCUGGAUUCGCUAGUAAUCGCGCAUCAGCCACGGCGCGGUGAAUACGUUCCCGGGCCUUGUACACACCGCCCGUCAAGCCAUGGGAGCCGGGGGUACCUGAAGUACGUAACCGCAAGGAUCGUCCUAGGGUAAAACUGGUGACUGGGGCUAAGUCGUAACAAGGU
rnacentral:rRNA from 1 species